UACGUAGGGUGCAUGCGUUAAUCGGAAUUACUGGGCGUAAAGCGUGCGCAGGCGGUCUUUUAAGUCAGAUGUGAAAUCCCCGGGCUUAACCUGGGAACUGCGUUUGAAACUGGAAGGCUAGAGUGUGGCAGAGGGGGGUGGAAUUCCACGUGUAGCAGUGAAAUGCGUAGAUAUGUGGAGGAACACCGAUGGCGAAGGCAGCCCCCUGGGCUAACACUGACGCUCAUGCACGAAAGCGUGGGGAGCAAACAGG
rnacentral:rRNA from 1 species